rnacentral:rRNA from 1 species
UACAGAGGGUGCGAGCGUUAAUCGGAAUUACUGGGCGUAAAGCGUGCGUAGACGGUUAUUUAAGUCAGGUGUGAAAGCCCCGGGCUCAACCUGGGAAUUGCAUUUGAGACUGAAUAGCUAGGGUGCGGAAGAGGGAAGCGGAAUUUCCGGUGUAGCGGUGAAAUGCGUAGAUAUCAGAAGGAACAUCAGUGGCGAAAGCGACUUCCUGGACCAGAACUGACGAUCAGGCACGAAAGCGUGGGGAGCAAACAGG